CUCUCGUCGACCGCCACCCGGAGCCCCCGGAGUAUUGCUCGGACCGAGCAGCUGUCCUCGUACGUCUUCCGAAUCCCCCUCAGACUCGUGAAGUACACGACUAUUACUCCGCCGCCGCCGACGGCGGCUACGGAGACCGCCGCAGGCGGCGCCGGCAGGCGCCCGCCGCAGGCGAGUGGCGAUCGGGUGUUUCCUCCUUGGAUUCGGUGGAUAAUUGCAGUGAUUCCUUGGUUUGGACUCGCAAUUGCCUAGCGCACAAUGCGCGGCGGUAGCUGGAGACUAUUACCGGGUCCAAUUUCAGGAGAAAUGACUCCUCGGAGAAAUGCUUCCACAGCGG
rnacentral:lncRNA from 1 species